rnacentral:lncRNA from 1 species
GGCAUUUGUCUCCUGCCGCAGCUGGGGCUGCAGAUCUAGUCUUCAGUUCACAGAGAACUGCCCCCCAACUGCUCCCCCGUACUCUGCUCCUACAGGCCCAGCUGCUGUGGCUGUGCGACCUGCAGGGACUGGCAGACCCGUAGCUAAGACGCCAGGAUUUCCUGGAAGCAGAGAAAUGAUUACCCGUGAGGCAGCCGAGAGCGACCCACCCGCCCACUCGCAGCUCCGAAGCAGCUUCAAGAAGGAACAGGAUCCCGAGGCCUGGACGCUGGACCCUACACCGCCACCCUCGUCCCAGCCCGCUGCAGGCCGCAGUUCCUCGGCCGUGGAGUAGUUUUAGAUUCCAGUUCCUGGGACCAGCUUGAUAUUCUUUGUGUAGAAGCCAGCCUGGAGCCAGCCGACAGGAAUAGGCAGAAGCAGAAUAAUACUGCAGGGCUCGAAUGUCCUGGAUGGAUUCCAAGAUGGCAAAAUAGGAACAGUUCCGGUCUGCAGCUCCCAGCAUGAUCGACACAGAAGACAGGUGAUUUCUGCACUUCCAACUGAGCCAUGCUGGCAGCUGAUUGUAUGGUGCCCACCCACAUUGAGGGUGGAUCUGCCUUUCCCAGUCCACUAAAUAAAUGUUAAUCUCCUUUGACAACACCCUCACAGAAACAACCGGGAACAAUACUUUGGAUCCUUCAAUCCAAUCAAGUUGACACCUUACUGAAUAUUAACCUUCACAAUGUAAUAUUCAUCCCAUUUGUAAUUUUUCUUUAAUAUACAAGCUCCUUGAGAACAUGCA